AGUGGGGAAUUUUGCGCAAUGGGCGAAAGCCUGACGCAGCAACGCCGCGUGGAGGAUGAAGGCCUUCGGGUCGUAAACUCCUGUCAGGGGGGACGAAACGCCCGGCAACGGGCAUUGACUGUACCCUCUGAGGAAGCCACGGCUAACUCCGUGCCAGCAGCCGCGGUAAUACGGAGGUGGCAAGCGUUGUUCGGAAUUACUGGGCGUAAAGGGCGCGUAGGCGGCUAGGCAAGUCAGGUGUGAAAGCCCCGGGCUUAACUCGGGAAUUGCAUCUGAAACUGCUGUGCUUGAGUUCUGGAGGGGGUAGUGGAAUUCCCAGUGUAGCGGUGAAAUGCGUAGAUAUUGGGAGGAACACCUGCGGCGAAGGCGGCUACCUGGACAGAAACUGACGCUGAGGCGCGAAAGCUAGGGGAGCGAA
rnacentral:rRNA from 1 species